rnacentral:rRNA from 1 species
GACAGAGGCCUCAAGCGUUAGGCGGAAUCACUGGGCUUAAAGCGUGUGUAGGCGGAUCGUUAAGUGUCUUGUGAAAUCCCACGGCUCACCCGUGGAACGGCUGGGCAUACUGGCGAUCUUGGGCCAACUAGGGGCAACUGGAACAAGCGGUGGAGCGGUGAAAUGCGUAGAUAUCGCUUGGAACGCCAAAGGUGAAAAACAGGUUGCUGGGG